GUCCUCACUUUAGCAGCCCAUAUACUAAAACUGGAACAAUACAGAGAAGAUUAGCAUGGCCCCUGUGCAAGGAUGACACACGACUUCAUGAAGUGUUUCAUAUUUUU
rnacentral:snRNA from 1 species